GUGGCUGUAGUUCAACCGGUUAGAGCACUGGAUUGUGGUUCCAGAUGUUGUGGGUUCAAGUCCCAUCAGCCACCCCA
rnacentral:tRNA from 1 species